rnacentral:lncRNA from 1 species
AUGGGUCUUCUGUAUUGCAGGGCAAGGAGAGAGAGAGAGAAAGAGGAGGAGGAGGAGGAGGAGAAGGGGGAAGAGGAGGAGAGGAGUGGGAGAACAUUUGUCAUCUGUUUAAUGCAUAGAGUGAAGGUGUCUUGUAAGCAGAAGAUGAAGGAUGCUUUGCAGAGAGUCGGCACCUUGGGGCACCAACUCUGCAGCGUGGUCAGCAGAGGAAGACAGAAUUGA